AUUGAACGCUGGCGGAAUGCUUUACACAUGCAAGUCGAACGGUAGAGGGGGCAACCCCUCGAGAGUGGCGAACGGGUGAGUAAUAUAUCGGAACGUGCCCAGUCGGGGGGGAUAACGUAGCGAAAGUUACGCUAAUACCGCAUACGAUCUAAGGAUGAAAGCGGGGGAUCGCACGACCUCGCGCGAUUGGAGCGGCCGAUAUCAGAUUAGGUAGUUGGUGGGGUAAAGGCUCACCAAGCCAACGAUCUGUAGCUGGUCUGAGAGGACGACCAGCCACACUGGAACUGAGACACGGUCCAGACUCCUACGGGAGGCAGCAGUGGGGAAUUUUGGACAAUGGACGCAAGUCUGAUCCAGCCAUUCCGCGUGCAGGAUGAAGGCCCUCGGGUUGUAAACUGCUUUUGUACGGAACGAAAAGGUCUCUCUUAAUACGGGGGACUCAUGACGGUACCGUAAGAAUAAGCACCGGCUAACUACGUGCCAGCCGCCGCCGUAA
rnacentral:rRNA from 1 species